UCUGCCCCAGAGGCACUCCUGGUGUGGUUGCUGUACACAUGCACAUCAGUAGGUGACAGAGAAGAAAUGCUCUAUGUAUAUUUAGUGUUCUCACCUUGUACAUCUGGAUGAUGAAUAGCCUAACAUU